UACGUAGGGGGCUAGCGUUGUCCGGAAUCAUUGGGCGUAAAGCGCGUGUAGGCGGUUCGGUAAGUCCGCUGUGAAAGUCGGGGGCUCAACCCUCGGAUGCCGGUGGAUACUGUCGGACUAGAGUACGGAAGAGGCGAGUGGAAUUCCUGGUGUAGCGGUGAAAUGCGUAGAUAUCAGGAGGAACACCGGUGGCGAAGGCGGCAUCCUGGGCCGGUAUUGACGCUGAGGAGCGAAAGCCAGGGGAGCAAACGGG
rnacentral:rRNA from 1 species